rnacentral:rRNA from 1 species
GGGGAGCAAACAGGAUUAGAUACCCUGGUAGUCCACGCCGUAAACGAUGUCGACUUGGAGGUUGUUCCCUUGAGGAGUGGCUUCCGGAGCUAACGCGUUAAGUCGACCGCCUGGGGAGUACGGCCGCAAGGUUAAAACUCAAAUGAAUUGACGGGGGCCCGCACAAGCGGUGGAGCAUGUGGUUUAAUUCGAUGCAACGCGAAGAACCUUACCUACUCUUGACAUCCACGGAAUUUGGCAGAGAUGCCUUAGUGCCUUCGGGAACCGUGAGACAGGUGCUGCAUGGCUGUCGUCAGCUCGUGUUGUGAAAUGUUGGGUUAAGUCCCGCAACGAGCGCAACCCUUAUCCUUUGUUGCCAGCGAUUCGGUCGGGAACUCAAAGGAGACUGCCGGUGAUAAACCGGAGGAAGGUGGGGAUGACGUCAAGUCAUCAUGGCCCUUACGAGUAGGGCUACACACGUGCUACAAUGGCGCAUACAAAGAGAAGCGACCUCGCGAGAGCAAGCGGACCUCAUAAAGUGCGUCGUAGUCCGGAUCGGAGUCUGCAACUCGACUCCGUGAAGUCGGAAUCGCUAGUAAUCGUGGAUCAGAAUGCCACGGUGAAUACGUUCCCGGGCCUUGUACACACCGCCCGUCACACCAUGGGAGUGGGUUGCAAAAGAAGUAGGUAGCUAA